GCUACGGGAGGCAGCAGUGAGGAAUAUUGGUCAAUGGACGAGAGUCUGAACCAGCCAAGUAGCGUGAAGGAUGACUGCCCUAGGGGUUGUAAACUUCUUGUAUAAAGGAAUAAAACGAGGCACGUGUGCCUUUUUGCAUGUACUUUAUGAAUAAGGAUCGGCUAACUCCGUGCCAGCAGCCGCGGUAAUACGGAGGAUCCGAGCGUGAUCCGGAUUUAUUGGGUUUAAAGGGAGAGUAGAUGGGUUGUUAAGUCAGUUGUGAAAGUUUCCGGCUCAACCGUAAAAUUGCAAUUGAUACUGGCAGUCUUGAGUACAGUUGAGGUAGGCGGAAUUCGUGGUGUAGCGGUGAAAUGCUUAGAUAUCACGAAGAACCCCGAUUGCGAAGGCAGCUUACUAAACUGUGACUGACAUUGAUGCUCGAAAGUGUGGGUAUCAAACAGGAUUAGAUACCCGAGUAGUC
rnacentral:rRNA from 1 species